rnacentral:rRNA from 1 species
UUGAACGCUGGCGGCAGGCCUAACACAUGCAAGUCGAACGGCAGCACAGAAGAGCUUGCUCUUUGGGUGGCGAGUGGCGGACGGGUGAGUAAUGUCUGGGAAACUGCCCGAUGGAGGGGGAUAACUACUGGAAACGGUAGCUAAUACCGCAUAACGUCGCGAGACCAAAGUGGGGGACCUUCGGGCCUCACACCAUCGGAUGUGCCCAGAUGGGAUUAGCUAGUAGGUGGGGUAAUGGCUCACCUAGGCGACGAUCCCUAGCUGGUCUGAGAGGAUGACCAGCCACACUGGAACUGAGACACGGUCCAGACUCCUACGGGAGGCAGCAGUGGGGAAUAUUGCACAAUGGGCGCAAGCCUGAUGCAGCCAUGCCGCGUGUAUGAAGAAGGCCUUCGGGUUGUAAAGUACUUUCAGCGGGGAGGAAGGCGGUGAGGUUAAUAACCUUGCCGAUUGACGUUACCCGCAGAAGAAGCACCGGCUAACUCCGUGCCAGCAGCCGCGGUAAUACGGAGGGUGCAAGCGUUAAUCGGAAUUACUGGGCGUAAAGCGCACGCAGGCGGUCUGUUAAGUCAGAUGUGAAAUCCCCGGGCUUAACCUGGGAACUGCAUUUGAAACUGGCAGGCUUGAGUCUCGUAGAGGGGGGUAGAAUUCCAGGUGUAGCGGUGAAAUGCGUAGAGAUCUGGAGGAAUACCGGUGGGCGAAGGCGGCCCCCUGGACGAAGACUGACGCUCAGGUGCGAAAGCGUGGGGGAGCAAACAGGAUUAGAUACCCUGGUAGUCCACGCCGUAAACGAUGUCGACUUGGAGGUUGUGCCCUUGAGGCGUGGCCUCCGGAGCUAACGCGUUAAGUCGACCGCCUGGGGAGUACGGCCGCAAGGUUAAAACUCAAAUGAAUUGACGGGGGCCCGCACAAGCGGUGGAGCAUGUGGUUUAAUUCGAUGCAACGCGAAGAACCUUACCUGGCCUUGACAUCCAGAGAACUUAGCAGAGAUGCUUUGGUGCCUUCGGGAACUCUGAGACAGGUGCUGCAUGGCUGUCGUCAGCUCGUGUUGUGAAAUGUUGGGUUAAGUCCCGCAACGAGCGCAACCCUUAUCCUUUGUUGCCAGCGGCUCGGCCGGGAACUCAAAGGAGACUGCCGGUGAUAAACCGGAGGAAGGUGGGGAUGACGUCAAGUCAUCAUGGCCCUUACGGCCAGGGCUACACACGUGCUACAAUGGCGCAUACAAAGAGAAGCGACCUCGCGAGAGCAAGCGGACCUCAUAAAGUGCGUCGUAGUCCGGAUUGGAGUCUGCAACUCGACUCCAUGAAGUCGGAAUCGUUAGUAAUCGUAGAUCAGAAUGCUACGGUGAAUACGUUCCCGGGCCUUGUACACACCGCCC